UCUGCUGGCUGCUACCCACAGCAGUUACUGUACUAUGGUCUCUGGAGAAGCUGUUACAAUGGGGCUGAGAAUAUUCAAAAUUAUAUUAUAGUGUUGCUUUACAAGGAAAAAACAAAAACAAACAAAACCCCAGAGAACAUUCAGAGCAGUUUUACUAAACGACUUUUCAAAAAG